CAGAGAUCUAAGAUUUAAUAGGAUUAAAGAAAUCCAGCCUGGAGAAUUUAGACGGCUUAAAAACUUGAAUACAUUGCUUCUAAACAACAAUCAAAUUAAAAGAAUACCUAGUGGGGCAUUUGAAGACCUCGAAAAUCUGAAAUAUCUCUAUUUGUACAAGAAUGAAAUCCAGUCAAUUGACAGGCAAGCAUUUAAAGGACUUGCCUCUCUAGAACAACUGUAAGUGCCUUUUCUCUUCUGUGCUGUCAUCUCCAUGAUUCCCCUGCAGAGGAAAAGUGCACACCCUGAUCCGUACAUCCUGCCUGCAUGCUCUGCAUGUCUGCUGUCGAAUGGUUGUUAGUCAGAGCCCCGUAAUCAUCUGCAUGUGGAAAAACAAAAUUGAUCUCUGUGUCAAAUUCCUCAUUUCCAUGUUUGUCUUUUUUUUUUUUUUUUAAAUCUUCUCAUUUGCUAUUCCCCAUGUUGCUAGAUGAUGUGAAAGAGCUUUGAUGAAGAGGCAGUGUAACGGUGGAAAAUGUUGAAAACUAAUGUGCAUUGCUUAGAGAGAGAUUUUUUUUAAUUUCAUUUCUAUAAAUUUUAUGAUAUUGUGAUUACUUUGCAGCAGUUACUUUGUUUUAUGCCAGUGUAACUAAAGCUGAGCCAGUAUCUUGAAGUUUAACUUGGUAUUGCUAUAUUUUAAAACAAAAUUAGAUUUUAAAAUUAAGAUUUUAAUUUUAUUUAUACGUGCUAAUGAUUGCUGUGUACAGACUUAAAAAUAAGGACGUUCACUGCUUGUAAUCUAGAUGUUCUUUGUCUUAUAGAAAGGUUGGUUAAAAUGUUACUCCUUUUCCUGUAUAGUGACUGAAGAUGAAUCUCUUAAAAUGAAAAUGCAGUCAGUAGCAUGACAAAAAUUAACUGUAUUGGUUCUGUUAAAUUUAAGUAUGUAGUUUGCUUGUUUUCAUGAACAGAAAGCAUUAUUAUGCAUUCAGUAUAGCAGUGUUUAGAAAAACAGCCAUAAAAUGCAUAGCUCUUUAACAAUCUGACUACCAAAUAACAAUACAAAACCGAUGAAUCUUGUAGCAUGUGAAUUGUGAGGGCUGAAAAACUCUAUUCUACUAAGAUAUAUACAAUUUCCUUCAUAGUAUAAAUACACGUGAACAUUAGUGGACAAGGUGUGUAUGUGAAAUAAAAUGGCAUUCAGAAUGUGUACGUUAUUCAAGCUCA